rnacentral:lncRNA from 1 species
GACCACUGCGGUGCUAUCCCCUGCCGCACCGCACUGGCGUAGGUUGUUUGAGCAGGGGCAAGAUCGUGAAUAUGCUGGAUGAUCUCCUUUGCAGUUUGUACAGUGUGGAGCAGCAUUACAGUUUUCCGACUGAUGGUCAUUGGCAC